rnacentral:lncRNA from 1 species
GUUUCCUCCUCUGCCUAUCAAUGUGUGUGGGGUUGAAAUCGCUUUGUAAACUAUAAAGCGUGGGUGUACGUAAAGGAUGGUUAUUGUUUAUAAUUUUUUUUGAGUUGUAAGAAAACUUAGCAGUUCCCCAAUCCUUGGGUUUUGAACCUGGGAACCUUGGAUUGGAGUUGGGGAUCCCCAAACUUCCUGAAAUUGUGGGAAUGUGCGGUUUGGGGGAAUGAUGGGAAUUUGUGGGAAUGUGCGUUUUAGGGGAAUGAUGAUCCAUCGCUAGCAAGUUUUCCAAGGGGGCUGUGACCCAGAAGAGUUAAGAAUCACAAUUUCUUCAUGCUACAGAGAGGAAACUGAGGCCUAGAUGUCAUUUGGGACCCUUCACAACCAUUUUGAAGCCCUGUUUGAGUCCCUGGGAUAUGUGAGCUGUUUCUAUGCAUAAUGGAUAUUCGGGGUUAACAACAGUCCCCUGCUUGGCUUCUAUUCUGAAUCCUUUUCUUUCACCAUGGGGUGCCUGAAGGGUGGCUGAUGCAUAUGGUACAAUGGCACCCAGUGUAAAGCAGCUACAAUUAGGAGUGGAUGUGUUCUGUAGCAUCCUAUUUAAAUAAGCCUAUUUUAUCCUUUGGCCCGUCAACUCUGUUAUCUGCUGCUUGUACUGGUGCCUGUACUUUUCUGACUCUCAUUGACCAUAUUCCACGACCAUGGUUGUCAUCCAUUACUUGAUCCUACUUUACAUGUCUAGGCUGUGUGGUUGGUGGUGAAUAGGCUUCUUUUUACAUGGUGCUGCCAGCCCAGCUAAUUAAUGGUGCACGUGGACUUUUAGCAAGCGGGCUCACUGGAAGAGACUGAACCUGGCAUGGAAUUCCUGAAGAUGUUUGGGGUUUUUUUCUUUCUUAAUCGAAAGUUAACAUUGUCUGAAAAGUUUUGUUAGAACUACUGCGGAACCUCAAAAUCAGUAGAUUUGGAAGUGAUUCAAAGCUAAACUUUUUCCUUGGCCCUCCUUGUGUUCUAAUUGCUUGCAAGUGUAAUACUAGGAUGUCCAAGAUGCCAGUUUUUGCUUCUUUGUUAGUUGUCAGCUGCUUUUAUCAAAUUUCAGGCCAUUAUCCAACAAACACUAUAAAAAUGUUUGAACAAUUGGAUUUCAAACAUUUUCGUUUUGUGGAGUGGUGCUCACCAAGUGGUACAGCCCUAAGCAAGUGAACACAAACACAUUUAAGUGUAUUUUGUCUGAUUAGAUGUUAGCCAGUUAUGCUAUUUCAUUCAAAUGUCUGAAAAAAUCAAUUGACUAUUCCCUUUUCCUAAAGGGCAGAGACAGAUAAUCUCACUUCCAGAGAAAUGACUUGGAGAAAAAAAAGUGUUGGUCUUUUUGCUCUUUUGUAAUUAAAUCCGGAUGUACCUCAAAAGACUUAAGACUGUGGUGAUAAGAUGCUUUCCUCAGCAGAAAGGAGGGAAAAAAAACAACUGGAACUCAAAGCUUGAAAUUCUGUGGCAAAACAUGAGAUGUCCAGGAUUGGAGGUUGAAAAGAUUUCACUACAGUGUUCUGCAAUAGUUGGAGCAGAUAACUUUCAGUGUAGCCACAGCCAUGGACUCCAGAUUUCCAGAUUUUCAAGACCUGGACCUGGAACCCGAAAGAGCUUGUCACGAUGCGGCAGGAACACUGGAGGUAGAUUUUUUUUUAUUUUUGAAUUUUGGGACUGUUGACCUUGCUGUGAGAAAAGAGACAACGACUGAGCAAGCACUACCACCAGCACUGUUACUGGGAAUUAGAAGACCUGAGUUUCUGUCCAGACCCUCAGUGCAAACUGAGGAUGCUCCAUCCAAAGUGAAUUAUGCCUACAGACCUGGUACCUGGAUUUUUGCCCGAGAUGAUUCCUACCACCUUACUACUGACGAAGACACCCAUUCCAGUGGACCACUGUGACCCAGGAGGCAUUCAGCCAUCAUGAUGUGGCCUUUACCUCCACUCCUGUCUUGUUCUACCCAGAUUCAGCACAGCCCUUUAUAGUGAAGUCAGAGUCCUCAAGCCAAAUAGCUAAAGCUGUUUUAUCACAACAAAGGCCUAGUUUGUUCCAUGAGUGUGCAUUUCAUUUCUUCAGUUAAAGCCUUCAGAGACACACAAUAAAUUUGGACCAGGGGAUUUUUUAGUUAUUAAUGCUCUCUGAAGAAAGGCAACAUCUUUUUGAGAGCAGCAUUGGACCACACCCCACAAUCUCAAAUGAUUGAAAUUCAUGAACAUCUAGGAUCCCGUGAAGGUCACUGGACCCUGUUUUUUCUACUUCAAAUCCUGUAGUAGCCUACUGAAUGAGAAAACAUAUUCUGACCCAUUGGGAUCAAAUCAAAGGCACAGUGAACUCCUCAUAGCAUCUUCUUUGGAAUUACUCAGGAACCAGAACUUUUUACACAAAUGUAAGAAAUUCUACCAAGGAGUCCCCUUACCUAACAGCAUCUCACAAGGCUGCACCAGAUUCCAGAAAAGGCUUCUCUUGAUACAUCAAGGUAGAACCUCUAUGCAUUUUGUGACCGACUUAUUCUUAGAUCAUUGGUUUUCCAAAGGCUUUGUGGCCAUGAAGCCCUUUGAGUGAAAACUGUGCAGAAGCCCAGAGUAAAAGUGAAGCUGCUCUGGAUGAAGUAGUGAAGCAAGAGUAGGGGCCUGAAUCCUGCUACAACUAUCUUCCUUUACCACCGUGGUGACACCUAAGGGGACUUCCUUACAACACCUUGAACUCUUCCGAACACAGUUUGAAAACCACUGCCCCAGACAGCAAUAUGUUUGACCUGAAUGGCAUUCCAAUCUUUUCUGUACCUCCACUCAGCACAGUUCAUGUUCAGUAGAUGCUGAACAUUCUUAGAAAUACUGUGUGUGAACUUAGAAAAGUGCAAGAAGACAGGCAUGUCUUUGACCCCAGGAAUGAUCAUUUGCUGAAGAUGGUGUCAAGUGAACCUAGAUUAACAGCCCUCCACUCCAGAUGGAUAUCCAGUGAUUCCUAGAAUGGGAUAUAGCCAGAGAACAAUUCUAUGCACCCUACACUGACAGACUCCCUUAAGCAACACCAGAUGCUCUACUGGUACUUGAAGUACAUGACUUUGAAGUCUUGACCCUCCAUGAAUACCUGAAUUAUCAGCAAGCGGGUUUUGAAGCUGGUGCCUCAUUGAGGCCAUAUUAGAGCAACUUGUACAUUUGACCUCUUGUUAUCAGCCAUGGUACUCUACUUCGUGUGCAAGAGAUAACUAUGAAAGCCAAAUUCAAAUACUGGCAACAUUUCCUAAAGGGGCUCAAUAUCUAUCAUUCGUCUUCUUUUCCAAACUACACAUCACUGUAUGACUCAACCAGUAGCAGUUAUAUUGCCCCUUGGUUUUUAUUCAGUUUAACUACUGUUUCCAAGAUAAAUGAGCUAAUAAGCUUUAAAAAAAAAAAAAAAAAAGGCUGAAUUCUUUUUUCUUCAUCACUGGCAUAUCUGCCUAUUCUCCAGAAUUAUUAUGACUAUUCAGCUCACUUUAACAGUUGAACUUCAAGCGACAAUCUUUGAACACCCCUUCUCAUGUGAUUUAAAAUGAAACCAUUUGGAAAAGUUUCUUCUAGCCAGUAAUAGAUUUUUUUUUUAAUUGCUCUGCCUUGUGCCGAGAGAUGUUCUUUUAAGAUGAAUCUUUUGAUGUCUGAUACCACCAAAUAUAGGUGGUAGGGAGAGUUGGAGGCUGGCCCUUUGAGCAGGCCAUUAGCUUACUUGCUGGGCAUUUCCGAUAGCUUAUUGCCUACCUUUUUGCUGGAAACAAACUGAUUUGAAAAACAAAAUCUAUGAAGACUGCAGCUAAGGAUUUUAUCGGUAGACUUAAGAGCUUUUGUCCUUGUGGAUAUUUUAGUGGAACCACAUCAGUCUCAAUACUGUCAUUUUACACUGACUCAGAGCAGCUGACUUCAUUCCUUGCCAUGAUAUAUAUUUAAGGCAGGCAUUGUAACAGACAUAAAGACAACUUAUCUGUUUCAGCAGGAAGGAUUCAGUUUAUGAACUCUCAGACCAGAUCAUGUUGAACAAGGAGACUUUGAUGUGUGUCAUGAGAAAACUCAUUCUUUACUUCCCAGUCAAUUUAAAGGCCAGCUAUCCUGAGCUACUCGAAUGAAUGCACUGGUUAAACAUUGGAAAUAGUUUGUUUAUAUCCUUGUCUCUCUCUAGGCCAAUUGUGAUUACAUGACUCGACUCUACAUCUCGUCAAACAAGGCCUAGGUCUGGUUGCUGUAGACUGCUCGCCCUCAACAAAUAAAAUCUGGUUGACUAGCCUCCUUGUAUAUACAACUAUUAUUUGUUAAGAAGAAAUUAUCGUCAAUUUUCUACUACCUUCCAAUUGUCAGCUCUUUUUUUCCUCUCUGGUUUUUCCUAUACUUUACAGAAAAAGACAUUGAUCUAUACUGCCAUUCCCUCUAAUCCUGCCAUACUCAGUCAAAAGGAAUGACUUAAGAUGAAGAUGAUCAUCUGCUCGAGUCUAAAAUAUACAUUGUAUAUAAGAAUUGGUGAUUAGAAAAGCAAAAAACCUAAAACUUAAAUCUAGGAGUCUGUAUACUGUCUCCAUGUCUCCAUGCCUCAGAUCUCAUCUAAAUCUUUGAACAGCACCAUUCAACCAAUCUGAGGCCUUGACUUGCUUGUAAGAUGAUUCUCAGAGAUCGGCUGAGUUAAAAAAGAUGACGACUUGAUUACCAAAGAAAGUAGGGCCAACUUUGACAAAUCUGGCUCUGCUGACCCUGUCACUCCCAGAUGUAGCAUAGACUCCUAAACAGAACCUCAAGUCUGAUUGAGGAUAAGGCCUUCUCCUGAGCUGAAAGUUCUUUGGCAGAUGAGCAAGAAACUGAAAGCUGAUGUACCUGACUGGCUCUGUAAGAUCAGAAAACUGUAUCCAGAAUAAGCCCUAUGGAUUAACCCCUGAGUACCCAGAGUAAAAACUAAUUUACAGAACUUCCUUAUUGAUCUGCUGGUUCUUCCAGAUCAUAUUCUGGCUAUUGGUAUGGCUGGCCUUUCUGAAGGUACCCUGCUUGUCUAUUUUCCUGACUCAGCUCUUGCCUGCCUUUUUCACAUGUUGCUGCAAUUAGACUCACCGUGAGGACUACAGUCAAUUUCAGUCUAUCUUGUGCCCAAUACAACAAGGAUUUUUAAUAGUAACAACCCACACCUCACCCACUAGGACUCAAUGUUCACAACAGGAAGGACCAUUGCUGCAUACUCCUUGACCAGCAACUUUUUUGAAGAUAUUUUUAAGUGCAGAGUAGGCCUCUAUUCCUGUAUGUAAUUGUUCAUUUUCAGCACCUGGAACCUCAUCUAUCGGGUCUGGAAGGAAUACAGCAGUUCGAAAGCCGCGUCCAUUUCUCUCCUUCAGUAGUGCAGAAAUGAGUCCGAUUCACCAGUACACACAGAACUGUACCAGUUCAACCUAGCAAAAGAAGAAAAGUUUCCACUGUACUUAAAAUUUACAGCUGACUCAAAUUGCCUCACAGAAUUAUUUGAUGUAGAAGGCUAGUUGUCUUACUUCAGAUCAGCAGGACAGUUGGGCUCUCAGACUCAUGACCACUGAGUUUGCUUGUGUUGAAACUGUGGUUUCAUCCAACAUAUGCUAUUGGACAUGAUUAUUAUUCCAUUCAAAUGGAUUACAGACUUCUUGAGGACAGGACAAACUUAUCUCUCAUGGUGUUUUUUUAGAAUACUUUUAUAACCAAGGAAGAAACCAUGCCAGCUGUUACCAUUCAACUUCUUAAGCAGAGAUUAAGCUUUUUCAUAUCUGUUCUUAUCCUGGACAUCAGUAGUUUUUAAUUGCCCAGCAUCCGUUCCAUCUUGUAACAACUCCCUGAUGUUUCUUAAAACCACCUCUUCCUAUUUUCAGUCUGUGGUUUGGACAGUCUGACCCAACCUUGAGCUUUGUGGGUGAACAUGUAAUUCAGACCUCAUCAAUCAGCAAAUCCAUCUGAACUGUGGAGGAGAAGCUCUCUUUACUGAGGGUGCUUUAGCUUUGUAGGAUGAAAACCUCAAACUAACAGGGCCUACCAUGUAGAGAAUGAAGCCAGUGCAGGGGAAAGCAGAGCCAAAAUAUGGAGAGACUUGAAUCCUGAUGACAGCGUUUGUGCCCCUGGAUCCAACCGUGCCUGAAGCUAGAAUAUCCCCUGGACUUUUCAGUUAUGUGAACCAA